AUGGCUUCUUAUACACCUCAAACUGAAACAACUUCCAUGGCAGCACUAAUAUUCUGGGUAACCCAUCUCUAUAUGACAAUGAAAUUCAUCACCAAAAUUAUCCUCCUCCUCUUCUUUCUUUUCCUUAUCGUACCAGUUUUCAUCCUAUUUGCAGGCACCUACGAAUACGAAUGUCUCCCUGGAAAUGUGACUGUAGAUCAACUUCCAACUGGAGAAAAAGUAAGGAAUAAGACGGUGUGGAAGGUGAUUGUUGGCAAUAAAUGUUCGUGUACAUUCGAGGAGGUCAAGUUAUUUUGUGCAGGAUUUCAGUCUAUCAAGACAAUCAACUCUUCCUCCAUUUCUAAGUCUGAAAAUCUUUGUCUUGUUAACGACGGCUUGCCAAUCUUUCCCAACACAGAGGUCACAUUUACCUAUGCAUGGAGCCACAAAAUACCCCUUGUACCAUUUUCUCUCCAAGAGUAUUGUCCUUGAUUCCAAUUUUUUGCAUUUUUAAGGUAAAGGAAAAUCUUGGAAUUUUUACUGCAUUCGAAUGCGUCAUAAGAUUUCCAUUUGGUGAUAAAUGUAACAUCUUUAUUUGGUCAUACAUGACUUGAGGAAUUAAAGAGACAAGUAAGAUAUCCUCUAAUUCCCAAAGAGAUGCACCAAUGCAAAUGUAAAAUCAGACAUCAUAUCUCAAAAAGAUUCACCAGACAAUAUAAAACCCCGAAAAGUUAAGGAAGCUAGAGACCAUAAACUGAAAUCAUUCAUAUUAGCUGACUUUGUCUACUCGAUACAAAAACUAACAAACAACUACUGUUUUCUACUAUCAGCACCAAAUCCUUGUCAAA